rnacentral:rRNA from 1 species
GAUGAACGCUGGCGGCGUGCCUAAUACAUGCAAGUCGAGCGAACAGACGAGGAGCUUGCUCCUCUGACGUUAGCGGCGGACGGGUGAGUAACACGUGGAUAAUCUACCUAUAAGACUGGUAUAACUUCGGGAAACCGGAGCUAAUACCGGAUAAUAUAUUGAACCGCAUGGUUGAAUAGUGAAAUACGGCUUUGCUGGCACUUAUAGAUGGAUCCGCGCUGCAUUAGCUAGUUGGUAAGUUAACGGCUUACCAAGGCGACGAUGCGUAGCCGACCUGGGGGGGUGGUAGGCCACACUGGAACUGGAACGCGGUCCAGGCUCCUACGGGAGGCAGCAGUAGGCAAUCUUCCGCAGAGGGCGGAAGCCUGACAGAGCGGCGCCGCGUGAGUGAUAGAGAUCUUCGGAUCGUAAAACUCUGUUAUUAGGGAAAAACAAAUGUGUAAGUAGCUGUGCACGUCUUGACGGUACCUGAUCAGAAAGCCACGGCUAACUACGUG